ACUCCUACGGGAGGCAGCAGUGGGGAAUAUUGGACAAUGGGCGCAAGCCUGAUCCAGCCAUGCCGCGUGAGUGAUGAAGGCCCUAGGGUUGUAAAGCUCUUUCACCGGUGAAGAUAAUGACGGUAACCGGAGAAGAAGCCCCGGCUAACUUCGUGCCAGCAGCCGCGGUAAUACGAAGGGGGCUAGCGUUGUUCGGAUUUACUGGGCGUAAAGUGCACGUAGGCGGACUAUUAAGUCAGGGGUGAAAUCCCGGGGCUCAACCCCGGAACUGCCUUUGAUACUGGUAGUCUUGAGUUCGAGAGAGGUGAGUGGAAUUCCGAGUGUAGAGGUGAAAUUCGUAGAUAUUCGGAGGAACACCAGUGGCGAAGGCGGCUCACUGGCUCGAUACUGACGCUGAGGUGCGAAAGCGUGGGGAGCAAACAGGAUUAGAAACCCCAGUAGUCCCAUGAU
rnacentral:rRNA from 1 species